rnacentral:rRNA from 1 species
GACGAACGCUGGCGGCGUGCCUAAUACAUGCAAGUCGAGCGGACCGAAGGGAGCUUGCUCCUUUAGGUUAGCGGCGGACGGGUGAGUAACACGUGGGCAACCUGCCCUGCAGACUGGGAUAACUUCGGGAAACCGGAGCUAAUACCGGAUAACACCGAAAACCGCAUGGUUUUCGGUUGAAAGGCGGCUUUUAGCUGUCACUGCAGGAUGGGCCCGCGGCGCAUUAGCUAGUUGGUGAGGUAACGGCUCACCAAGGCGACGAUGCGUAGCCGACCUGAGAGGGUGACCGGCCACACUGGGACUGAGACACGGCCCAGACUCCUACGGGUGGCAG